rnacentral:rRNA from 1 species
CGGCCCAGACUCCUACGGGAGGCAGCAGUAGGGAAUCUUCCGCAAUGGACGAAAGUCUGACGGAGCAACGCCGCGUGAGUGAUGAAGGUUUUCGGAUCGUAAAGCUCUGUUGUUAGGGAAGAACAAGUGCAAGAGUAACUGCUUGCACCUUGACGGUACCUAACCAGAAAGCCACGGCUAACUACGUGCCAGCAGCCGCGGUAAUACGUAGGUGGCAAGCGUUGUCCGGAAUUAUUGGGCGUAAAGGGCUCGCAGGCGGUUUCUUAAGUCUGAUGUGAAAGCCCCCGGCUCAACCGGGGAGGGUCAUUGGAAACUGGGAAACUUGAGUGCAGAAGAGGAGAGUGGAAUUCCACGUGUAGCGGUGAAAUGCGUAGAGAUGUGGAGGAACACCAGUGGCGAAGGCGACUCUCUGGUCUGUAACUGACGCUGAGGAGCGAAAGCGUGGGGAGCGAACAGGAUUAGAUACCCUGGUAGUCCACGCCGUAAACGAUGAGUGCUAAGUGUUAGGGGGUUUCCGCCCCUUAGUGCUGCAGCUAACGCAUUAAGCACUCCGCCUGGGGAGUACGGUCGCAAGACUGAAACUCAAAGGAAUUGACGGGGGCCCGCACAAGCGGUGGAGCAUGUGGUUUAAUUCGAAGCAACGCGAAGAACCUUACCAGGUCUUGACAUCCUCUGACAACCCUAGAGAUAGGGCUUUCCCUUCGGGGACAGAGUGACAGGUGGU